rnacentral:rRNA from 1 species
UACGGGGGGGGCAAGCGUUGUUCGGAUUUACUGGGCGUAAAGGGCGCGUAGGCGGCCAACGCAAGUCGACUGUGAAAUCUCCGGGCUUAACCCGGAAAGGUCAGCCGAUACUGCGGGGCUAGAGUGCAGAAGGGGCAACUGGAAUUCUCGGUGUAGCGGUGAAAUGCGUAGAUAUCGAGAGGAACACCUGCGGCGAAGGCGGGUUGCUGGGCUGACACUGACGCUGAUGCGCGAAAGCUAGGGGAGCGAACGGG